GGGGGGCGGCGGGCCGGAGAGCGAGGGCGGGCGAGGGGGCGCGCUUAGGGCUUGGCGCCGAAGAUCGGACCCUCGUCGGCGAGGGACUCUGGAAAAGAUCAAUUGGGGCCUUGCCUGUGGAAGUUCUUUGGAAGCUAUGAAACACUCUGUACAAGAAAAAGAGUCUGCUGUAAUCAUCCUAAUCACCUCAUCCUGAAGGUGGAUGUCUCCAGACAAGGAACAAUGAAAGUAGAACUCACAGAAAGUAGACUGAGAAGUGAAAAGCAUUGCCUCUCUUGAUGUCUCUCUGGACAUGGGCCAUGUGCUCAGGUAGCUACAUCUCUUUCUACAUGGAGGAAGCAAGAAGAAAAAACUUGAGCAGGGAAGAGUGAAGAUAUGCAAAAACUAUGCUUGUAAACUUUGGCUUGCAUUUGGGUUUCGUGGGGGGAGAGGUGCAUUCUUGUUCAAAGGCACGUGCAGAUUCAGUAGGUUUGGGGUGAUUUUCUAACAAGUUUCCAGACGAUAUCAUGCUGAUGGUUUCUGAGUGGCAAUAGCACAGGACCCUUCCUGAGGUGUAUCCUCUUCCCUCCAUUCAGGCAGCAAAAGGAAAGAGGUAUAAAAAACAGGAAAU